rnacentral:pre_miRNA from 1 species
AACAUACUCCCUCCGUCCCAAAAUUCUUGUCUUAGAUUUGUUUAAAUAUGAAUGUAUCUAGUCACGUUUUAGUAUUUAGAUACAUCCAUUUCUAGACAAGCCUAAGACAAAAAAAAAAAUUAGGACGGAGGGAGUAGUAA